rnacentral:tRNA from 1 species
CGUGACGCGUUGAAGUAUUUAAUGAGCUAUGAGGACGCACAAAAAAACACCCUACUCA